CAUAAAAGAAAGAAGAAGGAAAAGGGGGUAAAGUGUAAGAGCACAGAAAUGCACUUCAUUCCAAAAAUAUAUCUUUUAAGAGCAAACAAUCAAAUUGAGGGACAGGAAUAGGAAUGGCAAUUCAAAGUGCAGGUUAUGACCUACAAAGCCCUAAAUGAUUCAGGUCCUGCUUACCUUCGUGAUCAUAUCUCCCCCUAUGAACCAGCGCAGGCUCAAAGAUCUGCCAGGGAGGCUCUCCUCUCGCUUCCACCACCAUCACAAGUGGGUUGUUGGGGAUGAGGGAAAGGGCCUUCUCGGUGGUGGCCCCCCAGCUCUGGAACCCUCUCUCCAGAGAGAUCAGAUUGGCGCCCACCCUGGCCAUAUUCCGAAUUGAAAUCUUGGCUGUUUAAAUGCGUGUUUGAAUAACUCAGCCUGCAUUUCAUUGCACAAUCCCAUCCGCUCCUACCCAGUUCUAAGCACUUUAUGCCACUAUGGUUUUAUGAAUAAUUCAUUCAUUUUUUAAUUGAUACGGUUGUGUUUAUUUUAGAUGUUUUAAAUGGUUGUUGUAUCAUGUUAACUCUGUAAUUUGUUUUAUGUUUUGAUUGUAUUCAACUGAUGUUUUAGGGCAUGUCCCCAUGUGAGCCGCCUCGAGUCCCUUCGGGGAGAUGGAGGUGGGUUAUAAGUUUUUUUCUCAUUACCUCAGCUUGUUCUGAGAAAGAUUUUGUGCAGUGCAGACAUGGGGAACUAAGACCAAGAGUGUGUCAUUUGCCCAAGAUACACCAUGAUAUUAAACAGGAGGUCACCAUAAUUCUAGAUCACCAAUUAGACCAUUGGUCCCCAAACUCAGAUAUUCAAAUGUUGGAUUUCAAAUCCCAGAAUUGAUGACCAUUGGUCAUACUGGUUGGGAUUUGAAAUCAAAGAUCAAGAACUGGUGUGCUAAAAAGCAUCCAGUUUUACCAUAACUUUGUCUAAAAUGAACAUAGAGAUAAAUACUUUGGGAAACUUUAUAGAUCAGUCUUCAUGCAGUGAGACACAAUAUCAAGCUUAAGGAUUAAGCAUGCUGCCUCACAACCUGAAGAGCAUGACAUGUGCUUCAAUAUACAUACGCCAUCCACACAGUCCAUCCAUCACGCACACAUUUGCCUGCAUGCAAACACAACUCUAGAUGGGUUAUGAGGGAAGAGUAAAUAUGUGUUAGGAAGCAUGCCAGUAUGUGCCCAAUCAAGAGUAGGAAACCUGCAGAUAUCGAUAAUUUUCAAUACUACCACUCCCAUCACACCUGCUUAUUGAACAUGCUAAUUGGAUCCGAUGAGAGUUGGACUCUAAAUGCAUUUGGAGGGCCAUCUUUUCGUUAGACCUACUAUAUAUGAAAGGGUACGUGCCAGCCCAUUCCUGCAUUCUCUAAACAUAGGAACACAAUGAACCUUUGGUCGAGCAUUACCAUUUAUUUUGACAGUGUUGGCUGAGUCUCUAUGUAACCUGCUCAGUUCUCAAACUGGUCACAUUUUCCAUCAUCAUCUCAAAUCAGAAGGAGACAAUGUUAUUAUGUAUGUAUGAAUAAAUAUUAAAUAAAGAUCCCCAGUUUCAAGAACAAGAAUAAGUAUUAUAGUCAGAAUAAAUGUAUAGGAAGGCCGGCAUCUUGUCUAGAUAAGCAUCAUACAAUCAGUAUGUCACAUCUGUGAAUCUAAUCUCUCUAUACAUCACAGGACCACCCUAGCAAAGUUCUUGGAGAAUUCAAAGCUUUAUCAUUAGCUCCCUGAAAUCCCGCAGAAAUAAUCAAGUCAUUGUCUGAGUGAAUAUUCAUUUAACCACUGAAAAUCUAUUCAGUGAUUUAAUGUUCAAUCCUAGAUUUGUUUAAUAUAAUUGCAGAUGCUACCAAACAGCACAGAAGCAAUGCAACAUCUCUCAUAGCUGAGUUUCAGGAUGAUGAGCCUUCUGUUGCAAUGGGAGUCGGGCCUGUUUUCUUUCUAACCAGGAAUGUGAUCCUCCUCUUGCUACCACUACUAGAACUACCAACAUCACUACACAUUUGGAAGUCUUGAAAAGCAAGAGUCAUCAUUCUAAGGCUAUAAAACCUAAUAAUCUGAAAUAUAGGAGGUGUCCUGAAAAUGACCCCUAGCACUGUCACCUUGGGCUUAUUUGGUAGUUAAUGUUAAUUAAUGUUAAUAUAAAUGUAUCCAUGCAUUGGGGGCCUGCAAUAACAUCUUUAGUCAUUAAAUAAUAGGAUGCCUUAACCCAGGCAUGGGCAAACUUUGGCCCUCCA
ensembl:lncRNA